GUAGGUGAACCUGCGGAAGGAUCAUUAAAGAGUUUAGGGACUUCGGUCUACUACUCCACCCUUUGUUUACAAUACCAUUGUUGCUUUGGCAGGCCCGUCGCAAGACAGCCGGCUUCGGCUGGUCAGCGCCUGCCAGAGGACCUAAAACUCAUGUUUAAAUUAUUGUCUGAGUACUAUAUAAUAGUUAAAACUUUCAACAACGGAUCUCUUGGUUCUGGCAUCGAUGAAGAACGCAGCAUCUGACUGACUC
rnacentral:misc_RNA from 1 species